GAGGGUAUAGCUCAAGUGAUAGAGGGCGUGCUUAGCAUACACAAGGUCCUGGGUUCAAUCCCCAGUACCUCCU
rfam:Camelus ferus unplaced genomic scaffold scaffold1341, whole genome shotgun sequence.